CCUACGGGAGGCAGCAGUGAGGAAUAUUGGUCAAUGGGCGAGAGCCUGAACCAGCCAAGUCGCGUGAAGGAUGACGGCCCUACGGGUUGUAAACCUCUUUUGUCGGGGAGCAAAUGGCGCCACGUGUGGCCUCAGCGAGAGUACCCGGAGAAAAAGCAUCGGCUAACUCCGUGCCAGCAGCCGCGGUAAUACGGAGGAUGCGAGCGUUAUCCGGAUUUAUUGGGUUUAAAGGGUGUGUAGGCGGAAUGUUAAGUCAGCGGUAAAAAUGAGGGGCUCAACCCCGUCCUGCCAUUGAAACUGGUGUUCUUGAGUGGGAGAGAAGUAUGCGGAAUGCGUGGUGUAGCGGUGAAAUGCAUAGAUAUCACGCAGAACCCCGAUUGCGAAGGCAGCAUGCCGGCGUCCAACUGACGCUGAAGCACGAAAGCGUGGGGAUCGAACAGGAUUAGAUACCCCGGUAGUC
rnacentral:rRNA from 1 species